UAGAGCUGGGUCAAUUUUCAUAUGCUUCAUCCUCUCUCUCUCAAACUCUCAUUGUCUCUCAAGCUCCCAUCUCUCUCUCUCUCUCUGAUCUCUAAUUUUAUUCUCUCAUCUCUUCUCUGUUUGUGGCGUUGAGGAGACCAAUCUGGCACCACAGCGAAAACCCAGCUAACCUGGCCUUGAGGAGGCUGAUCAGAUGAAAACCCAACAACACCCAGAGUUGAGGAUGCUAAUCUGACUACACCACUUCGUGGACGAGAAAGAGAGAGGGACUACGGCGAGAGGAUGAGAUGGUGACUUUUUUUCAAAUUGAGUUCAUUUUUUUAGCAUCAACUAGUUCUAAUCCUAAAGUACCACCCUAUUGCUUGUCUUAAGUCACAUGUACCCGCCUCAGCAAGUUAAAGAAUUUUUUUUUAGUCUCUAGCAUUGCUCAUUACUCUUUGGAAAUUAUCUAUAAUGGAUACAUCAGCAGUCAAUUAAUGUAGUAGGAAGCCCUAUUCUAUAGCUAAUAUAAGAGUUGAGAAUUGAGAUUGAA